rnacentral:lncRNA from 1 species
UUGGAUUGGUGGCUUUAGGACCACACAAACACUCAUACCUUCUCUCUCCUCUCCCGCACUCUCUCUCUCCUCCCUCGCAGUCUCUCACUCUCUGUCUCUCUCUUUCCUUUGAAACGUACGGACGAACACAAAUCCUCCCAUUUCUUCACAAAUCAAAGGUAAAAAGGUAUGAUUCUUGUUCCAUUUAAGCUUCUGAGUUCAUUGGUACAAGUUUUAGAGCAUAAGACCUUCGAAAACCCUAAGAACCCUAACCCCAGUUUUCAUGCACUAUUCAUGAACUUUUAAUGGUCAUGUUUUAGGACAAUCCAAGCACACAGCGAACUCUAGGAGGUUCUCACGAAGCUCGGAGUGCUUCGUUUGAACGAAUUGGACGUCGGGAUCGAGAGGUUGACAUUUGGCCGGUUUUUCUCAAAAUUCUCCGGUGAGAUCCCGUGAUUUUUAGAACUUUAAAUUAGUAUGAACGUGUUCUACAAGUUAAGAGCUUCAUUUUGACAUAAAUUUCGUGAAAAUUGGAUGAAAAACGAGUGAGAAACCAUGUUUGGAAAAUUUCCCAGAAACCGGUGAACAGUCGCCGGCGAUCGGCGACUCGCCGGAGAAGACAGGGAAUAUUCCGUCAGUUUUGACGGAAUAUGCUAACGGCGUUGACUGACGCCGUUAAUUAUCUAACGGAAUAUACUAGGAUUUAACGGAAUAUUCUCUAACUGCCGUUACUGUGCCAUCAGUGUGCAUCGCACGUGGCCGCGCGUGGGGGCGCGUAGACCCGUGCCUAUUCCGGCGCAUGGGGGCGCGUGAACAGUCCAAAAAUUAUUUUAAAAAUAUGGUGAUGAUCCUAAGGUUGAGUAGGUCACUGUGGUAUAUUCAUAUACCCAAAUUGAGCACCGUAUGAGAAGUUUAAGAAUUGUUGGUUAGGUGCUUUAAAUAAUGUUUUAUAGUUUUCGCAUUUAGGCGAAAAUAUGAAUUGACGAUCCGACCGUUGGAUCGUCACCAAACUUUGAUGCGUUGUAAUACGUAAUAUUUGAGGAUUAUUGGAACUUACGGAUUGGGAAUCCGAUUUACGGAUCUUCCGGAAUUGGAGUUGUAAGUCCAUAAUAUAAAAUGUUAACCGUCACUUAGUUUUGGAAAUUGACGGAGAUCCGACCGUUGGAUGGUAAUGAAAUUUUAGGACAUUGUCCUAGAGAUAUAUUGUGGACCUCUGGAAGUUAUGGAUUUGAAAUCUGAGUUGCAGAUCUUCCGGAUCGAACUACGUAGUGACGUAUUUUAUAUAAGUUAUUUAUUCUAUCGAUAUGAAUGCUGAGGUUGGAUUUGGUUAUUGUUUUAGGCGCCGAUCGUUAUGACGCCUUGACGCAUUGUGCUAGGGAGUUGUAGGGUGAACUCCAGGUGAGUGGGCAGUUUUGAUUUCUUUAUAUAUAUCUAUAUAAAUGAGAUUUUUCCCAGGAAAUCAAUUUAAGUUAAAUGAGAUAUGAAAUGCCAUGCAAAAUAUAUGCCUAAUUAUUUAUGCAUUAGUAGUUGCAUACAUGCAUGAAUUGGUGCUGCGGACGCACAGGUAAGUGCCAGGUAAGGUCAUGCAUUUAAUCAUGUAAUUGUUGAGUUGAAAUGAUGGAAAUCUCAUAAACCUGCACCAGGGUGAUUUUGAUAUGAUAGAGAUGAUUCAGGCCUGUUUAUAUAUAUAUAGUCACCCCCGCACCAUAUGCUCACAAUUGGAUCCAAUUUAGGUGCUAGUCGUACAGACCACUAGAGGUGGUUCCGACUCGCCAAAUCGUACAGACCACUAUAGGUGGUUCCGAUUCGUAGGUGACUAGCGAUUAUCGCAUAGCUAUCAGGGAAGGAUAGCGUGAGCAAACUAUAUUCACCCAGUCGUACAGACCUUUCUAGGGGUUCCGACUCGUGUGCAGUGUAGUGCCGUACAGGUCAUUGGCGACGACUCUGGCUAGAUUGUUGAUGAGAUUGAUUAUGAGCUAUUUAUAAGUUUUGUUGAGAUAUAUUUUGGCAUGGUAUACUUUCUGGUUUUUGAGAAAAAUUGAUAUUUUGAAAUUUAUGAAAAGUAAUAUGCUAUUAUGCUAUUUUCUGGGAAAAUAUACAGGUUUUACAGCGAGGGGUUAGCGCUUUGUUAACGAAAUGAUUUUCGAAAAGAUUUGUUUUGCUGACCCACUCAUCUUUGUUUUGCGCCCCUCCAGGUUCAAGAUAGCAGAGUUUUGGUGGCCUCGAGGAUUUCAGCGGUGUUCUGAUAGAAGUAUUUAAAAAUAGGACUCACCUUCGGGGGUUUCUUUUCAGCAAUUGUAUUUUAAACGCUUCCGAACUGUGUAAAUGGUUACGUCACUCUCACGUGACGGCAGCAUGCCCUCCUCCGGGACGGGGUGUGUCAAAAACUGUUUCUGGGCUAAAACCUAAAUUUUCUGGGCUAAAUAUUUUUAGGUUUUAGGUCAGGAUUGGAGAUGGUCUUAGUAAUGAAAUCUCUUUUUGGGACUCCAAUAGAAAAAAGGGGUUUCUGAUGAACAAACUUACAUUUUCUUCCUUCCAUCAUAAGAAUAGUAUAGAAAUUAGACAAAUAAGGAGAGAAUAUCAUGCUAACAAAAGAAAAAGAGAAAUUUUAUUUAAACUCAUUUAACCUCUUUUUACACCUCACUUAAAUUUUAAAUGUUAAUUGUCUAUUUUACCUUAUUGCAUAAUUACUAUUAAGUACAAAAUGAAAUUAAUAAUAAAACUCAAAUUUAUCAAUAAACUCAAACACUAUAAUUAAAACCUACGAUCACCCUUUGUUUAUCCUACGUUCAUUCUGGCUAAAACCUUAAUAACUCUCAUAGAGAAAAUAAGUUUUUUUAUUGAUAGAUAGUGAUUUUGAAGUUUUGAAUCCUCCAACCAAGAUAUGGCUCACUUUAUGAAUUUUUUGUUCGGUUGAUGCCCAAUUUCUUUUGUCGACUGCUAGAGGGGGACAUCAGUGUGGUAGUACCGGGCUUGUAAGC